GACGAACGCUGGCGGCGUGCCUAAUACAUGCAAGUAGAACGCACAGUUUAUACCGUAGCUUGCUACACCAUAGACUGUGAGUUGCGAACGGGUGAGUAACGCGUAGGUAACCUGCCUGGUAGCGGGGGAUAACUAUUGGAAACGAUAGCUAAUACCGCAUAAUAUUAAUUAUUGCAUGAUAAUUAAUUGAAAGGUGCAAUUGCACCACUACCAGAUGGACCUGCGUUGUAUUAGCUAGUAGGUGAGGUAACGGCUCACCUAGGCGACGAUACAUAGCCGACCUGAGAGGGGGAUCGGCCACACUGGGACUGAGACACGGCCCAGACUCCUACGGGAGGCAGCAGUAGGGAAUCUUCGGCAAUGGACGAAAGGCUGACCGAGCAACGCCGCGUGAGUGAAGAAGGGUUUCGGAUCGUAAAGCUCUGUUGUAAGAGAAGAACGGGUGUGAGAGUGGAAAGUUCACACUGUGACGGUAUCUUACCAGAAAGGGACGGCUAACUACGUG
rnacentral:rRNA from 1 species